UGGGGAAUAUUGCACAAUGGGCGCAAGCCUGAUGCAGCCAUGCCGCGGGUAUGAAGAAGGCCUCCGGGUUGUAAAGUACUUUCAGCGGGGAGGAAGGGAGUAAAGUUAAUACCUUUGCUCAUUGACGGUACCCGCAGAAGAAGCACCGGCUAACUCCGUGCCAGCAGCCGCGGUAAUACGGAGGGUGCAAGCGUUAAUCGGAAUUACUGGGCGUAAAGCGCACGCAGGCGGUUUGUUAAGUCAGAGGUGAAACCCCCGGGCUCAACCUGUGAACUGCCUCUGAUACUGGCAAGCUUGAGUCUCGUAAAAGGGUGUAGAAUUCCAGUUGUAGCGGUGAAAUGCGUAGAAAUCUGGAUGAAUACCGGUCGCGAAGGCGGCCCCCUCGAAAACGACUGACGCACAGGUGCGAAAGCGUGGGGAGCAAACAGG
rnacentral:rRNA from 1 species